rnacentral:rRNA from 1 species
AUGUGUAUAAGAGACAGGGGUGAAAUUCCAAUCGAACGUGGAGAUAGCUGGUUCUCCCCGAAAUAGCUUUAGGGCUAGCCUCAGGGAAAAGAUUGCAGGCGGUAGAGCACUGAUCAGGAGAGGGACCUACCCGGUUACCAAACCCAGUCAAACUCCGAAUGGCUGCAAUCAUACCUGGGAGUCAGACUGCGACUAAUAAGGGCCGCAGUCAAAAGGGAAACAGCCCAGACCAUCAGCUAAGGUCCCCAAUGCCGUGCUAAGUGGAAAAGGAUGUGGCAUUUCAUAAACAACCAGGAUGUUGGCUCAGAAGCAGCCACCAUUUAAAGAGUGCGUAAUAGCUCACUGGUCGAGAGACGCUGCGCCGAAAAUGUCCGGGGCUCAAGCACGGAACCGAAGCUAUGGCAUGAUAGCAAUAUCAUGGGUAGGGGAGCGUUCUUAUAAGGAAGAAGCAUGACCGGAAGGACAUGUGGACAAAUAAGAAGUGAGAAUGCCGGUAUGAGUAUCGAAAAGAAAGGUGAGAAUCCUUUCCACCGAAAGCCCGAGGGUUCCUGAGCAACGAUCGUCGACUCAGGGUAAGUCGGGACCUAAGCCGAGGCGAGAAGCGUAGGCGAUGGACAACAGGUUGAAAUUCCUGUACCGGAUCAAGUCGAUUGAGCGAAGGAGCGACGCAGGAGGGCACAUGAUCGCGCGGCUGGAAGAGCGCGUCCAAGUGCGUAUGUUGCUGCAGAGGAAAACCCCUGCAGCUAAAAGCAGAGACAUGAUGGGGAGUUAAAGGAAACUUUGACGAACUCAUGGAUCCCACACUGCCAAGAAAAACUUCUAGCGAGACAAGAUCCGCCCGUACCGUAAACCGACACAGGUAGGCGGGGAGAGAAUCCUAAGGUGCGCGGGAAAACCCUCGUUAAGGAACUCGGCAAAUUGCAUCCGUAACCUAGGGAGAAGGAUGGCCCCCGGUCAGUGAAGAGCAGAAACGCUCAGAGCUAAAAGGGGCGGCAGAAAAGAGGCCCAAGCAACUGUUUACCAAAAACACAGGUGCCUGCGAAAGCGAAAGCUGAAGUAUAGGUGCUGACGCCUGCCCGGUGCCGGAAGGUUAAGGAGAGAAGUUAGCGAAAGCGAAGCAUCGAACUGAAGCCCCGGUGAACGGCGGCCGUAACUAUAACGGUCCUAAGGUAGCGAAAUUCCUUGUCGGGUAAGUUCCGACCCGCAUGAAAGGCGUAAUGAUUUGGGCACUGUCUCAACGAGGGGCCCGGUGAAAUUGAAAUACCUGUGAAGAUGCAGGUUACCCGCGACUGGACAGAAAGACCCCAUGGAGCUUCACUGCAGCUUGAGAUUGAAUCCCGGUGACAGAUGCACAGGAUAGGUGGGAGGCGCCGAAGCAUUGCCCUAGGGCGGUGCGGAGCCGAUGUUGGGAUACCACCCUUCUGUUGCUGAGAUUCUAACGCGAGGAGUAACGACCCUGCGGACCCUCUCAGGCAGGCGGUUUGACUGGGGCGGUCGCCUCCGAAAGAGUAACGGAGGCGCCCAAAGGUUCCCUCAGGCCGGACAGAAACCGGCCGAAGAGUGCAAAGGCAGAAGGGAGCUUGACUGCGAGACCAACAAGUCGAGCAGAGACGAAAGUCGGGCUUAGUGAUCCGGUGGUACUGAGUGGAAAGGCCAUCGCUCAACGGAUAAAAGCUACCCUGGGGAUAACAGGCUAAUCUCUCCCAAGAGUUCAUAUCGACGGGGAGGUUUGGCACCUCGAUGUCGGCUCAUCACAUCCUGGGGCUGGAGUAGGUCCCAAGGGUUGGGCUGUUCGCCCAUUAAAGUGGUACGCGAGCUGGGUUCAAAACGUCGUGAGACAGUUUGGUUCAUAUCCAUCGCGGGCGCAAGAAGUUUGAGAGGAGCUGCUCCUAGUACGAGAGGACCGGAGUGGACGGAUCAACGGUGUCCCAGUUGUCACGCCAGUGGCACGGCUGGAAAGCCGCAUCCGGGAAGGAUAAACGCUGAAAGCAUCUAAGCGCGAAGCCAACCUCAAGAUGAGACUUCU